rnacentral:rRNA from 1 species
UACGUAGGGUGCAAGCGUUGUCCGGAAUUAUUGGGCGUAAAGAGCUCGUAGGCGGUCUGUCGCGUCGGCUGUGAAAACCCGGAGCUCAACUCCGGGCCUGCAGUCGAUACGGGCAGCUGGAGUUCGGUAGGGGAGGACUGGAAUUCCUGGUGUAGCGGUGAAAUGCGCAGAUAUCAGGAGGAACACCGGUGGCGGAAGGCGGGUCUCUGGGCCGAUACUGACGCUGAGGAGCGAAAGCGUGGGGAGCGAACAGG